AUAAAAUAAUUAUGUUUUUAAUAAUUUAUUAUAAAUUUAUUUUACAUAUAAAUUUUAGUAUAUAAUUUUAAUUAUUUAAAUAAUAAUUAAUUUAAUUUUAGUAGUAAUUAAUAUUAAAAAUUUAAGAAAUUAAGAUUUAGUAAUAUAAAAAUUAAUAACUAAUUUUGUGCCAGCAGUUGCGGUUAGACAAAAGUUAAAUUAAAUUGUUUCAGUAUAUAAUAAAUAAUAAAAUUAUUAAAUUAAAUAUUAAAUUAUUGGGUGAAAUUUUAAUUUAAUUAAAUUUUAUUUUAAAAUUAUGGAUUUAGUAAAUUUUAAUAUAAACUAGGAUUAGAUACCCUAUUAUUAAAAAUUUAAUUUAUAAUACUAAAAUAGUAAAUAAUGAUUUAUUGAAACUUAAAUAAUAUGGCGGUAUUUUAGUUCAUUUAGAGGAAUCUGUCUAAUAAUUGAUAAUCCACGAAUAAAUUUACUUAAUUUAUAAUUUUGUAUAUCAUUGUUAAAAAAAUAUUUUUUAGGAGUAAUAAUAUUUAAAGUUUAAAAUUAAAAGUUAAAUCAGAUCAAGAUGCAGAAUAUAAUUAAGAAUAUGAUGGAUUACAUUAAAUAUAUUUAAAUGAAUAAUUUUAUUGUAAAAAAGUUUGAAGGUGGAUUUAAAUGUAAUUUUAAUUAGUUUAUUAAAAUGAUUAAAAAUUAAAAUAUGUACAUAUUGCCCGUCACUUUCAUUUAAAAAUUGAAAUAAGUCGUAACAAAGUAGAGGUACUGGAAAGUGUUUCUAGAAAGG
rnacentral:ncRNA from 1 species